CAACUGUAAGCCUAUUAUUGACCCACCUUGUGUAUGAGUUACAGGUGAUUUAUGUCACAUGUGACAGAUUCACAGCUUUACCUCUAGGUCAGGGCUCACCAAAUAGCACACAUAAGAAAGGUGCACUUUGUUGGACAUCAAUUCUCAUUUCCAGGGGGAACAGCCUUGCCUCAGUGGCAGCAAGUGUUUUCAAGUAGGGAAGGUUAUUGCCAUUGGAAUCAACAGGAAUGCUAACUGGUUACAAAAGACACAUCCUAGGGCUGAUUACAGGAUUAUCCAUCCUCUAGCUUUGAGGUCUUGCCUGUUGAGCAACAACCUUGAGGUGACCUCCCUAGGGCACCAGGGGGAU